GGGGCUCGUCCUCUUGCAGGAGAGCAUGAUUGCCGUCUUGCUCUCCCAUUAGGAGUAGGUUCAAUAGAGGAAGAUCUAGAACUGGGUGCUCCAGGCCUACCCCUAGUGGCUGAAAGCGGCCGCUCAGGUAGUGAUGUUCUCAAAUUUGGUGGAGUAUCAAGUGAGAAACCAGGCAUCUCUGAGGGUUUCCAUGGUCUAGAUUUUACAGUUGGAGAAGUGCCGCGUGAUGGCACUGGAUUUCUUGCCAUUGUGGGUGUUGUCUUGGUAANNNNNNCUGAAGGAAUUGACUUAACAGGAGGACCAGAUACAGUAGCAGUUGCAGGCAUUGUCUUGGUAACUGAAGUCAACUUAACAGGAGCAGACAUAGUCGGUGCACUUGAUGGAGUGGAUAGCCGUCGGGUUGGGGUUGAUGCCCUCGAUGUGGAUUUAGGUGGAGGAAUUGAAGGCCUCGUAGUUGGUGUUGAUGACCUUGCAGUGGAUCUUGAUGGUGUUGAAGAUCUAGUAGG
rnacentral:misc_RNA from 1 species